rnacentral:rRNA from 1 species
AAUGAACGCUGGCGGCGCGCCUAAUACAUGCAAGUCGAGCGAGAAGACGUAGCAAUACGUUUGUAAAGCGGCGAACGGGUGAGGAAUACAUGGGUAACCUACCCUAGAGUGGGGAAUAACUAGCCGAAAGGUUAGCUAAUACCGCGUACGCUCCUUGGACUUCGGUUCAGGGAGGAAAGCGAUGCCGAGGGUAUCGCGCUCUUGGAUGGGCUCAUGUCCUAUCAGCUUGNGGUGAGGUAACGGCUCACCAAGGCUUCGACGGGUAGCUGGUCUGAGAGGACGAUCAGCCACACUGGCACUGCGACACGGGCCAGACUCCUACGGGAGGCAGCAGUAAGGAUAUUGCGCAAUGGGCGAAAGCCUGACGCAGCGACGCCGCGUGGGGGAUGAAGGU